AGAGUUUGAUCAUGGCUCAGGACGAACGCUGGCGGCGUGGAUUAGGCAUGCAAGUUGAGCGACGGCUGAGGGCUUGCCCUUGGUACGGAGCAGCGAACGGGUGAGUAACACGUGAACAAUCUGUCCUUACAUUCCGGAUAAUUGGGAGAAAUCCCUUGUAAUACGGGGGAGGGUCGAGAGAGGGCAUUCUCUUUCGAAGGAACGAGCAAUCGGUGCAAGGAGGAGUUCGCGGCCUAUCAGGUAGUUGGUGAGGUAAUGGCUCACCAAGCCGACGACGGGUAGCUGGUCUGAGAGGAUGGUCAGCCACAUUGGAACUGAGACACUGUCCAGACUCCUACGGGAGGCUGCAGUCGAGAAUCUUGGGCAAUGCACGAAAGUGUGACCCAGCGACGCCGCGUGAAGGAUGAAGGCCCUCUGGGUCGUAAACUUCUUUUAUGGGGAAAGAAAAGCUCGCAAGAGCCUUGACGGUACCCCAUGAAUAAGCCACGGCUAACUACGUGCCAGCAGCCGCGGUAAUACGUAGGUGGCAAGCGUUGUCCGGAUUUACUGGGCGUAAAGCGUAUGCAGGCGGACUGUUAAGUCCAAGGUGAAAGGUAGGAGCUCAACUCCUACACUGCCUCGGAUACUGGCAGUCUUGAGUGGCGGAGAGGAAGAUGGAACAAGUUGUGUAGCGGUGAAAUGCGUUGAUAUAACUUGGAACACCAAUGGCGAAAGCAAUCUUCUGGACGCAAACUGACGCUGAGAUACGAAAGCUAAGGUAGCAAACAGGAUUAGAUACCCCGGUAGUCC
rnacentral:rRNA from 1 species